rnacentral:rRNA from 1 species
UACGAAGGGGGCGAGCGUUGUUCGGAUUUACUGGGCGUAAAGGGCGCGCAGGCGGCUAUCCAAGUCAGGCGUGAAAGCCCCGGGCUCAACCUGGGAACCGCGCUUGAGACUGGCACGCUCGAGUUCGGGAGAGGAUGGUGGAAUUCCCAGUGUAGAGGUGAAAUUCGUAGAUAUUGGGAAGAACACCGAUGGCGAAGGCAGCCAUCUGGACCGACACUGACGCUGAGGCGCGAAAGCGUGGGGAGCAAGCAGG